rnacentral:sRNA from 1 species
AGGUUUGAAUGUGAGGGACUCUGACAUCUGUCUACCUGUUGAUGGUUAGGAAUUAUUUUGCUGAUCUGCCUGGUUAGGGAUAUGUCCUGACCAUCCUUCAACAUCCACACCCUCUCUCCCUUUUUUUUCCUAAGUUGCAAACAUCUUUCCCAAUUAGGGAAGGGACAUUCUUUGACAAAAUUUUAGGUUUGGGGUCAAAGAAAGGUCUCAAACCCAAAUGUCCAGUGCAUCCUCCAUUUUGUACAAUAU